rnacentral:miRNA from 1 species
CCUCUUCCUCUUCCUCUCCCAUAUGGCACAUAACUGUUCACACAACUAGUUCCAAUUUACUAUUGAGUACAUAUGGCAUUUGUUUUUCCAUUCUUGUGAUACUUCACUUAGGAAAAUGGUCUCCAUU